GUAUGUGUGUGCUGGGUUUGUAAUCGAGUAGGUUUUGGUAUGAUGGAGUGAUAUUAAAUGGCAGUCUGCAGUUCGAGCUAUAAUUUUCUGCUCGGCACAAUGGUAUUUGCAAUGGAAAGAUUGAGAGCGAUGGAAUGCAACAUUUGGAAGUUUUGUUGGAACUUAACCGAGUUCUAACGAUCACAGUAACUUCAAAUGCAACCGUGUUCUGAUUAACUGUCAUAUGUCAGUUGGAUACUGUUAAAAUUGGGCAAGUAAGAAAAAUUUGUUAGAACAAAACUACAGAUGAAGACAUCGUUUUAUAGGAAAUUUUAUUGGGAUACAAUCAGGAUUUAACCGUUCAGUUAAAAUUCAUCUUGGAAUAGACCGACCAAGACUGAUAGAGACAAGAUUGCAACAAACAUGUUUUUAAACGGAGCUGGCUAUACAAAUUUUCAUAGUGAUUAUAAACCAAGAAUUUCUUUUCUUUCAUUCAUGACGUCACGCGCCAUUGUAACGGGUGAUUCAAGUAGAUGUAUUUUUUUCAAUCGCCUUUUUUUGACAGUUCACGCGUACUCGAAGACCGUGGAGAGUCGAUUCGACGUCGUUUGCAACCACUCGGACUGACGUAUGGAACGUCUUGGCGCAUUUUACGUCGAGAUCUUCAAUUGAAAGCGUACAAAAUACAGCUCGUGCAGAAACUGGUGCCGCUCGUCCUUUCCAAGCGACAUCGCAUCGCUCUAUGAGCUCUUGAAGAGUUCCAAGAAGAUCCGAUGUUUUCAAGCAAAAUUUUGUUCAGCGAUGAGACCACAUUUCUGACUCAAUGGAAAAACAGCAGUUUCGUGCGGCUGUGGGUCUGUGGAAUCAUUGGUCCAUAUUUCUUCAAAAAUAAUGCCGGUGAGAACGUAACCGUCAAUGGCGACCGUUAUCGCGCCAUGAUAACCAACUAUUUGAUGCCUAAAUUGAAGCUCAUGAUCUCGGCGAUAUUUGGUUUCAAUAAGAUGGCGCCACUUCCCACACAUUGCAUCAAUCAAUGGAUUCAUUGAGAGAACACUUCGGUGAACAGAUAAUUUCACGUUUUGUGUCGGUCGAUUGGCAGCCCUUAAUCACACCGUUAGACUUUUUUCGGUUGGGGUAAGUAAAGUCUAAAGUCUAUGCGAUCAAUUCCGCUUCGAUUCAGGCCUUGGAGCAAAACAUCACGCGUGUCAUGCGCAAGUUACCAGUCGAAAUGAUCGAACGAGUCAUCGGAUGGACCAUCUGAUAAUCUUCCAAAAAUAAAUACCAAAGAAUGUUCUUUCGAA